AUGACGUCGCGCCACCGGCGGCAGCCGUCGCGGGCGCUGCCUCUCGACUUCGACGUCGGCGACGAGCCUGCGGCGGCCGCAUCCAAGGGCGCGGCGUCGACGCAUGGACCCGCUGGCGGCCGGAGCGAUGCUGCCAAAGCAGGGCAGGUAGGCGAAGGCCAGGGCAAGAAGCUGCCUCCGGCCACCGGCGGCGGCCGCAUGCCGGCGCCGGAGGGGGCUGGGAAGGGGCACUGCGACGGCAACGAUGGCCGCUAG
rnacentral:rRNA from 1 species